rnacentral:rRNA from 1 species
AUUGAACGCUGGCGGCAGGCCUAACACAUGCAAGUCGAGCGGAUGAAGGGAGCUUGCUCCUGGAUUCAGCGGCGGACGGGUGAGUAAUGCCUAGGAAUCUGCCUGGUAGUGGGGGAUAACGUCCGGAAACGGGCGCUAAUACCGCAUACGUCCUGAGGGAGAAAGUGGGGGAUCUUCGGACCUCACGCUAUCAGAUGAGCCUAGGUCGGAUUAGCUAGUUGGUGGGGUAAAGGCCUACCAAGGCGACGAUCCGUAACUGGUCUGAGAGGAUGAUCAGUCACACUGGAACGGGAACACGGUCCGGACUCCUAGGGAGGGCAGCAGUGGGAAAUUUUGGAAAAGGGGGGAAGACUGGAUCCAGCCAUGCGGGGGGUGGAAAAAAGGUUUUCGGAUUGUAAAGCACUUUAAGUUGGGAGAAAGGGCAGUAAGUUAAUACCUUGCUGUUUGGAGGUUACCAACAAAAUAAGCACCGGCAAACUUCGG